GUGUGUGUGUAACUAUUUUAAUUCAGCCUCUAAAGGGAUGCCUAUAUAUAUAGGCAUCCCCUUAGAGGCUGAAUUAAAAUAGUUACUG